GGCUUGCUCUUCUUGGCGAAAUGUUCUCGCAGGCCUGCACGGAAGGAGUGAGGACAGAGUCUCUGAACAGUAAGGCAGUCUUAGGGCAGUUCACAGGCGGGGCCUCCACCUGAAGACUAGGAUCUUGGCUUUGACUCUAGAGGACUAGCUGAGGGCACAUUCUCUAUUAGCAAAACUCUGCUAGGAUGCUUUGCAUGCACUUCCUCAAGUGAUCCCAGCAAAUGCUCUUGCAUGAAACCUUACCAUUUCUGCUUCCAGCAUUGCAGACCCAUUGGGACAUCUGCUCAACCCAUGAUCCCCAUCUUAGAGAGAAGUGUGCCCUGCCCAUAAGAAGAAAACCCGAGGUCACAUUUGUCUUAUAUGACCCUGGUCUACGGCUGCAGCUAACUGGACACAAGCUAAGACGGCUCACACAGGCAGAGCGGCAGCUCCUCCAGGCUCCUUCCACAUGAUGAAUCUGCACAAAGAUGCAUGGCAACAGAGGACGGCCCACCCUAAUGUUCCAGGGUUUGCACAUGAACGUGUCUUUUGGGGGGACACCAUUCAGCUCACCACAGGCAUCUUGAAACCCCUCCCACUUCUGGACAUGGGGACUAGGCCACAGUGGAAACCAGUGAUGCUCAGGUGAGCUUUGACCUCCCUCCUGGUCACAGGGAGUUCCAUCAAAUGCCCGGUGGCACGUGCUAUUGCUAGCCUGCCAUGGUGGCGAGACCAGGGAGUCAGAUGCCUCCAGUCAAGCUGGACGAACGCUUUCCUAACCUUUGACAAAGCACUGAGCAGCAAGCAUGCCAUAGUGGAGCAGCUCCUCUGUAGACUUGCUUAGAAGACUUAGAAUGUGACUUUCAGGUAGAGUAUGAUCCUAACUGGGAAGUGAGGCUACGGAACCUCUAAUGCUGUAGGGAAACAGCACUGGGGUGUGGGGUGCCAUCUCAAUAGCAGAAAAGGGUCAGGUGGGUUGGCUCAUGCCUGUAAUCCCAGCACUUUGGUAGGCUGAGGCGGGCGGAUCACUUGAGGUCGGGAGUUCAAGACCAGCCUGUUCAACAUGGUGAAACCCCAUCUCUACUAAAAAUACAAAAAUGAGCCAGGCGUGGUGGUGCAUGCCUGUAAUCUCAGCUACUCAGGAGGCGGGGGCAGGAGAAUUGCUUGCACCUAGGAGGUAGAGGUUGCAGUGAACCAAGAUCAGGCCACUGCUAUUGCUAGCCUGCCAUGGUCAGUGGAGGGAGAAACCAUUUCUAUGCAUUCCAAGCUGGAGGACAGAGAGAGACUCCAUCUCAAAAAAAAAAAAAAAAAAGGCAGGAAAAGGCUCCCAGACUACAGGUCUCUCCCUUCAUGCUUUGAGAACCAGAUGCCCACUGAAUUACAAGAAGUUUAAAACUCAAAAGGUGCUUUGUGCAUCAGGGGACCUUCCAGAGGGCAGCCCCAGCUGGAGUGGGGAAAUACUGGCAUUGGGUGUGGUCAGUGGACAGAAGGCAAUCCGGUGCUGAAAAUCAGUUUCCUGCUGGGAGAAUGUGGAGUGAAUGGGGAGUGUUUGGAGCGGAAGAAGCAGGAUUGACACAGACACCUGUUUUUAAUUCCCAAGUGGAAUUAUAUGGAUAAAUCUAUUUUAAAUCUAGCACUCAAGGAGGGCCACUUAGGUGUUACCUAGCACCUGAGAGAGCUUGCCACAAUCUUAUACUCUGGUCCAGUAAGACAAGGGUCAGUGGAGGGAAGCCUGCUUGCUUGCAACAAACUGCAUUUCCUUAAACCCUGUCCUUGUAGUGAAUCCUUUAUCUAUGGUAACCAGACAGUAGGGAGUAUUAGGCUUUGUGAGCUGAGUAAAGUGCUGUGCUUUUAUAGAAAAAUCGUCACUUGGUAACAAGUAAACCUUCAUUUGCUACUCCGGUGGUUAUAUCCGUGCUUGGGAGCCAGGGGGUCACACACAGGUACCACCAGUAAGCCAUUAGCUCCCCCAUUUCUAGGAGGGCAUGAGCCACCAUGUUCAGGAUACAUUGUUCCUCAGCUGCAAUCCAGAACAAGGCUGAGGAACAAUGGGCCAGGCCUGAAUGGGACAACAUGCAGGGGAAGCCGUAUGCUGGCUCACAGUGGCUAGACUGCCUGCAUUCAAGUCCCCACUCUGCCACUCACUGGCCGGCCUUGAGCCAAUUUCCUCACCUUUCCUCAUCCAUUUCAUCAUCUAUAAAAUGGAUUGUUCAGAGUUUCUGAUUCACUGGGUUGUUGUGAAGGCUAAAUGAGUGAUCUAAUUGUAUACACAUCAGCAGUCAUUGUCAUCAUCAUUUGACACAAAGUAAUGAAGACUUUCUUUAAAAGGAAGAAUAAGUUUAUUUCUCCUCCAUCCACUCAAAAUAUAUCUUGCCACCAGUGGCGUUAUGGAGACAGUAUUUU